GGACAAGCCAUUCUCAGUCAAGCAUGAAACUGAAUCUGAGCAGGAAAAGAAGAAAGCUGAAAACACACUGAGGAUUAUGGGAGAGGGGCAAGUGCAUGAAGCUUCUCAAUGACAUACAGACACUCUAAAAGCUCAAGAGAUCAAUUAUUCAACUUCAAGAACUGAAAUUUGAACACAGAUUUUGAGCUUCCAAAUCAGACUGCUGUUAAACUGGCUCACUCCAUAUACUCUGUGCUACAGCAAUUUAAUAUUUCAUUAAAAAGCAUUAAUGAUGGCUCCAGUGAAUUUCUCCUAUUCAAGCUCCAUAAUGACAGCAGUUCAAGCGAGUGUUGAUCUCUGAGUGAUGCAACACAAAAACAUCGCCUAACAAAGGAACACUUGGAGUACUACUCAUAUUCUCUGCAACUUGAGGAGAAAAAGAAGUGUUCUAUAAGAAGUUUGGACAAGACUCUGCAAGAAGUUAAGAGGUCCUUAAAGGCAACUGUGAAUUAACGGAGACUAGUUUUGAGAAAAUCAGUCCUGAUUUGUUUCUCCUGGAGUUUUCUUCUUUAUGUGAUCCUUCAUAAAAGCUGCUAAUAUGGGAAAGAUUGAAAUCAGCAAGUUUCUGGCUGUAAGCUAAAAGAGGCUCUUGAAUCAUAUUUCCGCCUGCUUAGCAAAUUUCUCUUGCGACAAUUGGAUGUUAUUUGGGGUUCCAUACUAGCAGGAAGAAGUACAAGCAAAGCUAAGUCAUUUUGAGAAUAAAUAUUAUCUCUCUAUAUAUUUGUAAAUGUUAUUUUCUUUUUUUUUGAGGUUUAUGAUUGAUCCUUGGCAUGUGUCCCCUUGUGUAUUGCUCUACUAAAAAUAGCCUAAAAAAGAAUUUUCCCCUCGAUGUGGAGCU
rnacentral:lncRNA from 1 species